GGGCACGUGGUGGAAUUGGUAUACACGUACGUUUCAGAAGCGUAUUCCGCAAGGAUUGGGAGUUCAAGUCUCCCCGUGCCCA
rnacentral:tRNA from 1 species